rnacentral:lncRNA from 1 species
ACUCCCGUUGUUUGGCAAGUGGGAGGAAGUGUCACAGCUCUUUUAUUUCUGCCACCCACAGCUUGGUGAGUAGGAGCAUUACAGCUCUUUUGCUCCCACAGUUCAGCAAAUUCUGAGUUCCUGUCCCAUGACCAAGAGGAAUGAGGAACAUGGACACCGGAGAAUGAGUAAGGCAGAGUAGAAUUUUAUUCAUCAGCGAGAGGGGACCUGAAAGCAGGUCGCCAUCUGUGAGGAUUAAAGUUAGGACCAAAUGCUGCUCAGAAAUUGUUUUAAUCUCAAAAGUAGUUGGCAAGUUUUCAGAGUUCAUUUUCAAGGCCUGGUGUAUGCAUUGGUUACAUGAAAACCGUGUGACAACCUUGGAAGUCUGAAAGAGCAGGAGAGAGGCUAAGCACACACAUAUUGUGAUUUUAAGAGUCUCAAGGUGAGAAGAAACAUCAGAAGCAGUUGAGAGACCAGGACGUGGGUCCUCAAAGGAUGAACAGAAGUUCUUUUGGAUAACAUUUUAAAAUGUUUCCUCCAGAGUUAUCUGCCUCAUUAACAAUGGUUUGAGUCUCAAGAGUCUCUCUUCGAUUUUACAAACAUGAUUUGUUGCUCUGCUAUAAAUGCAUGCUGCUCUAGUCCUUCAAUAAACCCACAACA